AUGGAACGAAAAUGUGUAAGUAUGUAUUAGAUUAUGUAUUUGAAAGAAACUAAUAGUGUGUUAUGUGCAAGGUAAGCUUAAGAUCUUGAAGAGGAUGAUCCGUGAAUACAGAAUGGGAUGAACGCUAAGGCGGGCAAAGGUGCAAAUAGGCAAAUUAACCCCAGAAAUCCUGAUGCAAUGAAUCUACCGAGAACGGUGAAAGAAUGCUCAUGAAUGAAAGCUCAUGAUACCAGAUGGACAAGAUCAACCCUGUUAAGAUACGGAUUCGUGAAGGAGCGAGUCAACUCGGGUUGUUACACGUUGGUCGGUGCCAAAUUAGCAAGCAUUAGGGAUCAUGUGGACGUGGACUCAAGCACGAAAGACUAACGGGUCAAGAUGAGGCAAGCAAGCGGGUAUGAACACGGAUGCACAAGGUAAGUGAUUCCGUAAUCACUUCUUAGUUAUUUAUGUAAAGUUAUAUGCAACUUAACUAGGUAUGAUAAUUGAGGUCGAAUAGGAACAAAUGGUAUGAUAUCGAUGAAGUAUUAAACGGAUCUCAGCUUUGAUCCGAGCAAGGUAUGAGUGAUUGAGAAUCGUAACUAGGUAGUAGGAUUGGUUGCUUAUGCAAGGUAGUGCUUGUUGUUAAUAAUGGGGCAAGGUUGACAAAAACGCCCUUGGUGGGGAUUUCGGGUAAACGACCUUAAAAGUCAAUUGGAAGUGAGUUAUUCGAUUAGAGUAAUGUCUUUGUCUAUUAUGAAAGUGAAGUAUAGAGUUUUGUAUGUUAUAGACCUUUUAAUGUAUAAAUACCCAUAACGGGUCGAAUAAUUCAUAAGUGAAUAACAAGCCGAUAGUGUAAGUUAAGAAUUUCCUUAAUCCGGAUAUGGGAUUUUAAGUUCAUAUGAUAGAAUGUGAAUUUACAAGCAUGUAGGAAGAAACGGGAGGUUAAACGGGUAAACGGUUCAAAA